rnacentral:rRNA from 1 species
AUUGAACGCUGGCGGCAGGCCUAACACAUGCAAGUCGAGCGGAUGAAGGGAGCUUGCUCCUGGAUUCAGCGGCGGACGGGUGAGUAAUGCCUAGGAAUCUGCCUGGUAGUGGGGGAUAACGUCCGGAAACGGGCGCUAAUACCGCAUACGUCCUGAGGGAGAAAGUGGGGGAUCUUCGGACCUCACGCUAUCAGAUGAGCCUAGGUCGGAUUAGCUAGUUGGUGGGGUAAAGGCCUACCAAGGCGACGAUCCGUAACUGGUCUGAGAGGAUGAUCAGUCACACUGGAACUGAGACACGGUCCAGACUCCUACGGGAGGCAGCAGUGGGGAAUAUUGGACAAAGGGCGAAAGCCUGAUCCAGCCAUGCCGCGUGUGUGAAGAAGGUCUUCGGAUUGUAAAGCACUUUAAGUUGGGAGGAAGGGCAGUAAGUUAAUACCUGGCUGUUUUGACGUUACCAACAGAAUAAGCACCGGCUAACUUCGUG